AGAUCUGCAUUGUAAGAAAAAUGAGAAGAAUUCCUUCAGGAAGAAGAAAAAUGAUACCAGAUGGAUAUGUGGAUCCACAUAAAGGAACGAAGAGCACAGGAAAUAGUAACUAUACUGGAAGUGGUCCAGCCACCCUUUUCAUCUCUACCGUGGAAGACCUUUCAGGACCGACCUAGAUGGGGUUCAGGGGAAAAGAGACGAGCAGCCAGUGGAUCAGAAAACUUAUAAUAAGGUCUUCAUUCUGCAUUCAUUUCCGUAGCAUGAAACCUGUGACCAGACUCCCUCAGUUCAUACCAUGGCUCUGCCACUUAUUUGCUGCAUGAUCCCAGCCUAUGUGGUGAAUUUUAUUAGUGGAUUGCCCAAUGAUAAAUAAGGUUUCCUUCGUCAGUCCAGGCAGGACUGUGCGGUUGGAAAAGGGACGGAUGCUGGUCCUGGAAGGGGCGUCGUUAUCUAGAAGCUCCCAACCUAAGUGGGUGACUCAUAGGGAGGGCAAGGAGAGAAGGACACAGCAAGCAACUUACAUGUAAAACAAGACGUGUGGGUUAUUAUGGAAGAAAUUCACAACCAAACUUGGGGUUAGCCCGUAUUGUUUUCCAAGAACUCUAUGUGGACAGUGACAAAAAACAGACCUAAGAACUAGCAGACUGGGCAAAGCUUUUUCACAUAACAACAACAAAAAAAGCAAUUCCUCAGGAAAAAAUGGUCAAUGGGUCAUUGUGUGUAGACAAAACUACAAGUUCUGCUCCAGACUCUGGGGAAACCAUGCUGCCAUCUUCAAGCUGUGGCCAUUCUGUAAUACAGACUACGCUAAAUCACAUGUUGUCAUCAAGGCAGAAUAUUUUGUUCCUUUAUGGGUCAGCCUGGGAUACAAAAUUAGAGAAACUUUGCAAUGAAAAAUCCCUUGUGUCUCAUUGAACUUUUUCCUUAAUUCAAACCUUUCCUUUCACAGUUUUGAUUAGUGCCUUUGCCCAUGUGGACAAUAUUUUAUGAUCAGGUUUUAAGAGUAAUCCAUCCAUGGCUGCUUGGCUGCCUGGAACUUAAAACAACGACAACAACAAUGUCCAGAUAAACCCAAUAAAAUAGGUUUUUAAAUGUG
rnacentral:lncRNA from 1 species